rnacentral:rRNA from 1 species
GACGAACGCGUGGCGGCGUGCCUUAACGACACUGGCGAAGUCGAACGAGGAAUCAACGGAUUGAGGAUUCGGUCCAAAGUGAAAGGUUGAGGAAAGUGGCGGACGGGUGAGUAACGCGUGAGGAACCUGCCUCGGAGUGGGGAAUAACAGUUGGAAACAGCUGCUAAUACCGCAUAAUGCAACGAAAUCGCAUGACGCAGUGUGAAAAACUCCGGUGGUAUGAGAUGGACCCGCGUCUGAUUAGCUAGUUGGUGAGGUAACGGCUCACCAAGGCGACGAUCAGUAGCCGACCUGAGAGGGUGAUCGGCCACAUUGGGACUGAGACACGGCCCAA